rnacentral:rRNA from 1 species
UACGUAGGGUCCGAGCGUUGUCCGGAAUUACUGGGCGUAAAGAGCUCGUAGGUGGUUUUGUCGCGUUGUUCGUGAAAACUCACAGCUCAACUGUGGGCGUGCGGGCGAUACGGGCGAGACUGGAGUACUGCAGGGGAGGACUGGAAUUCCUGGUGUAGCGGUGGAAUGCGCAGAUAUCAGGAGGAACACCGGUGGCGAAGGCGGGUCUCUGGGCAGUAACUGACGCUGAGGAGCGAAAGCGUGGGGAGCGAACAGGG